GCACUGACACCUCUGCUCCCCUCUCUCUACUUCCUGGCAACCACUAAUCUUUCCUUCCUUUCUAUCAUUUUAUCCGGCUUUUUAUUUUUUUUUAAUUUUUAGUAGAGACGGCGUUUUACUGUGUUUGCCAGGCUGGUCUCGAACUCCUGACCUUGUGAUCCACCUGCCUUGGCCUCCAAAAGUACUGGGAUUACAGGUGUGAGCCACAGUGCCCGGCCAAUAAACAUGUUUUUAUGUGCUUACAUGUCAUCUGUACGUUCUCUUUGGCAACAUGUCAUUUCAUGUCACCGUUUUUGGUUGGAUUGGUUUUUCUAGUAGCCCUUUUUAGUUGUUUUUUUUUUUCUGCUGAAUUUUGAGAGUUUUAGAUUGCCCUUUUUUAGUUGGAUUGGUUUUUUCUCUUCCUGCUGAAAUUUGAGAGUUUGAAAAUAUAUUCUAGAUAUAAUGUCUUUGUCAGAUAUACGGUUUGCAAAUAUUUCUACCAAAUAAAUAUUUGAUUUGAACAGACGGACAUCCAUUGUUCCUAGCAUCACAUGGCCCACUGCACUCAUGCCAGAACGGUCUGUAAAUAUGAUUGUACACCCUGAUGACAAAACACAAAACCUUUGGUCAUGGUCGAGGUGCUUCAUUCUUUCAGCAUUGUGCAAAUAGUGUAUAAACCCAGGAUUAAAUUCAGUAGAAGCUUAAAGGCUAAUUUUAUGCCACUGCUUUAUUCAAAGAACAGAUUUAAAAGUUCAGCUGUGAUAAAGUUAUUUGGUUUUUCCAUUAAAAUUUAUAGACGUACAUAGCAGCUAAGUGAUUUUUUAAAAGAAAAUGGAAAAUGUUUACCUUUUGCUUUUUUAAGUGUUUCCAAAUUCUGCUGUGCUAAGCGGCUUAAACUAUGCAGCUGGCUACAGCGGUGGGCGAUGCCCCAGCUCCUCUGCCACCUAGGCCAACAGAGCACACACUCAUGUUAACAAGUGGCACCCUGAAGACGGAGCGAGCACCCACCACAACUACUGGAGUCCUUGGAAAGCCAAUGAGUCUCUUUUUGAAGCACACACAUAACAUGUUUUGAUUGAUCAUAUGUUUCUAAGCUAGCUAAUUUUUAAAAAAGCAACCAAAUGGAAAAUGAAUUGUUUACCAGAGGGCAGAAAUAUUACUACUAUGUUCAGGUAUCCAAAGAUUUAAAAUAAGCAAAUAUAAGAUG
rnacentral:lncRNA from 1 species